rnacentral:tRNA from 1 species
GGGAUUGUAGCUUAGUGGUAGAGCACUUGCCUAGCAUGUGUGAGGCACUGGGUUCAAUCCUCAGCACCA